AUCCAGUGACCAGUCUCAAAUAGGACGAAAUGUGCAUCCUGGAU
rnacentral:hammerhead_ribozyme from 1 species